rnacentral:rRNA from 1 species
GACGGACGCUGGCGGCGUGCUUAACACAUGCAAGUCGAACGGUGAAGCGCCUUCCUUUUUGGUGGGUGUGGAUGAGUGGCGAACGGGUGAGUAACACGUGAGUAACCUGCCCCCUUCUUCUGGAUAACCGCAUGAAAGUGUGGCUAAUACGGGAUAUUCUGGGUCUGUCGCAUGAUGGGUCUGGGAAAGAUAUUGUUUCGGUGGGGGAUGGGCUCGCGGCCUAUCAGCUUGUUGGUGGGGUGAUGGCCUACCAAGGCGGUGACGGGUAGCCGGCCUGGGAGGGUGGACGGUCACACUGGGACUGAGACACGGCCCAGACUCCUACGGGAGGCAGCAGUGGGGAAUAUUGCACAAUGGGCGCAAGCCUGAUGCAGCGACGCCGCGUGAGGGAUGGAGGCCUUCGGGUUGUGAACCUCUUUCGCCAGUGAAGCAGGCCUGCCUCGUUUGUGGGCGGGUUGACGGUAGCUGGAUAAGAAGCGCCGGCUAACUACGUG